UAAGGACGUGCCUGAAACCGAUCCUGAGAGACUUGUGUUUUUCCUGGAUUUGUUUUUUCUCUUCGUGGAAAAAGUAAAGUGGUGGGUCAGUUUACCGGGGUUUUGGCAAAGAAUGGAAGGAAGGGAUCCACCUCCACCUGACGGGCCUUCGUCGCUUGGAAGCGGGGUUUCCCACACUAGCCCGGAAAGGGCUACUUACGCACUUAUACUACGGUUACAAAGAACGAAUUUCCAUCGCUGGUGAUGGAUUUCUUUUGUAACAUCGAAGCACGAGGCUAACCUCCCAGGAGGUGUCUGAUUUCGGUUUUGACGACAUGAAGUUACAUCCUCGAGAUAUAUCUCGUAUCAUCGGAAUUGGAAGGCCGUCAAAUGUCAUUAAUACCGUCACCAAAGCAGAGGUUAUCGUUCGGGAGAGAUUUGGCGACAAGGUGGAGUUCACCAUAUCUUACGGAGAUCAAGUUUGGAAGUGUUGUACCAGGGGGGUGGGGUGAGGUGGAAUACGAAAGUCAAUCUUCGGUUCUUCCAUGUGCCCGUUGAAGUGGAGGAAUCUAACUUACUGGGAGCGAUAGGGCCUUUUGCUUCGCCAAUGUCUGACGUUGUGGAAGAUAAAUUCGGAAAAGAUAGCAAUUCCAGAUUAUUGGGCAUUGGGAACGGUAGCAUUACAGUUCAGGUCAAGAUUAUUGAUUUUGUACAAGUAGAUAAGUGGAAGAUCCGUGUGUAGCAUAAGGAUCAGACAAGAAUAUGUUAAGGCUGCGGUGAAGGCCCAUUGGUGACUUCUGCGGGUUGGAUAACAAACCAGACAAGUGAUCCCCCGUCUGUUAAAUCCCCUAUCUCUGUGCAAGAAAGCUUGAAUCAUUGGGCAUUUUCGUCGAGGAAGGAGAUCUUUGAAAAUGGCAUCAAAGACUAGGAGAGGAGCGACGAAGAGAACGAGAAACUUACAGAAGAACCUCGUGGUGCUUAAUCAUCUGAUUUAUGGCCAACCGACGAUACUCAAGAUACAAUGACCCCGGAAACUGAAAUGAUAUACAUGAGAGGAGCUACAAAUCCGAAUAAGUUGAAGCGGAAAAAUCCAGCAACAUCUAUAUCUCAAAUUCUGAAUAAUGCUACUCUCUCGCCUAAGAAAACGGGGUUUGAAAUUGAGAGGAGUCGUCAAGAUUUGAGUUUGGCAUUACCACCACUUACACGAGGCCGAGAAGUGUUCCUCAUCUUGUUUUUUGAGAAAUAUUGGCGUUGGAGGUCAUCUUCCGCAAUGGACAACGGUCUGGUUGGCGGAACGGUAUCCGAGGGUGCUAAUUGAAGAAUGUACUUCAUCAUGGAAAGCAGUUUGGACGGGGGUGACUCAAGGACGAGCCUCAGUUUAUUAGCCGAUGAUGCUAGAGUUUCACGACGUAUAUACUCUAAUCAGGACGUCUUUCAGCAACAAGAAAAUCUCAAUCUCAUACAAGGAUGGGCCGUGACUCACAGCAUGUCUUUCAACAAAGGGAAGUGUGUGGUCCAACGAUUAGGUUCGGUAAAUGCUACUGUAAAUUACGAACUGGGUGGUACAAGGCUGGUCCUGGUUGAAGUUCACAAAGAUCUUGGCACACAUAUUGACAGCAAGCUGAACUUCUUGAGGCACGUAUCUUACCUGUCUUCAAAAGCCAACAAGUUAGUCGGUAUGAUUAAGAGGCAUUUUACAAUCCGGUGCCCGAAGGUUCUAAUCAAGCUCUUUAACACCUGCAUACGCUCAUCCCUGGAAUUUGGUUAUCUUGCCUGGACCCCGACGUUCAAAAAAGAUUUCGUUCGGCUCGAAUCGGUUCUGCGCCGUUUUACUAAGGGAAAUCCUGGAACAGGUGGGUUUGGUUACGACGAGCGUCUGGUGAAAGUUCGAUGUGAGUCUUUACUACAAAAGCCAUCGCGAAACAAGAUCGUCGUUGGCCGAGCAACUUCGGACCCCGGUUGCUCGUUGUGCUGCUAGAUUAAAUUCUUUCAUGAUUUGAGCCAUUCCAAGGUGGAAUGCAGUUCCACAAAGUGUUCGAUCAGUGACCUCUUUGAAAUUAUCUCGCUCUCAGUUGAACUCAUGGUACUGAUCAAAAAGCUAACUCUUCUCAGGAGUUGAAGACAUCGACCACUAUCUUUAUUUUUCUCUUCUUCACGCCCAUCUUCUCAUUGUACCAAAACUCUUUAUCUACAGCUACGUGAUUGUAGUGGUUGUCACAAUAAACAAUAAAUCCAUAUC